CCCCAAAAUACCUUAUCCAGGAGGAUCCUCUUGAUGGGACUGUCCAUAUCGGCAGACUGUGAUAUGGCCAUUCCUUGGAGAGACUCCUUCCCCUCCAGGAGACUGCCAACAUGAUGACAAACACCACCCCAAGGGGUUGCUGGGCAGCUUCAAUGUGGUUCUCUUUUAUUCUUCUCACAUACCUUUUGGUCCAAGAUCAUUGAUGACUGCCUUCAGCCAUCUGCAAUGUCAGUCUGGUGUGGUCUGUUGUCCCUGUGUUCUGGCUCUUGUAGAAUACUGGUUGAGGGGUGGAGAUGAUGUAGUUAAUUAUUCCUUGCCACGAACACUACAGGGACAUCUCCAUGGAUUUCAUAGAGGGGGACAUCUCCAUGGUUUUCACUACAGAAGGACAUCUCCAUGGUCUUCAUUACGAAGGACAUCUCCAUGGUCUUCAUUACGAGGGACAUCUCCAUGGUCUUUUCAUUAGAGGGGGACAUCUCCCAUGGUCUUCACUACAGAAGGACAUCUCCAUGGUCUUUUACACACUACAGAAGGACAUCUCCAUGGUCUUUUCACUACAGAAGGACAUCUCCAUGGUCUUCACUACAGAAGGACAUCUCCAUGGUCUUCAUUACAGAAGGACAUCUCCAUGGUCUUCAUUACAGAGGGACAUCUCCAUGGUCUUUUCAUUAGAAGGGGACAUCUCCAUGGUCUUUUCAUUACAGAAGGACAUAUCCAUGGUAUUUUCAUUACAGAGGGACAUCUCUCCAUGGUCUUUUCACGCGAGGGACAUCUCCAUGGUCUUUUCAUUAACGAGGACAUCUCCAUGGUCUUCACUACAGAAGACAUCUCCAUGGUCUUUUUCAUUCAGAAGGACAUCUCCAUGGUCUUUCAUUACAGAAGGACAUCUCCAUGGCUUUUCAUUACAGAGGGACAUCGCCCAUGGUCUUUCAUUACAGAGGGACACUCCAUGGUCUUUUCAUUACAGAAGGACAUCCCAUGGAUAAACUGAAACAAUACAGUCAGAGAAGAGAACAAGGACAAUGAAGGGGGGAGAGGAAAAAGUCAACUUGCAGAGGGUAGUUUCUGUGAGUCGGGAUAUUGGUGUGGAGAAUGAUGAAUGGUGGUCAGUAUGGGAGAGAGUAUGUACGGGUGAGAGACAGACAGACAGGAGAGGUAAGAGCGAGAGAGCAGUGGUGUUGACAGAAGUGAGGUUGUGUAUUGUCUGUGCGUGGCCCAUGUGAGGUUGAGGUAGAGCGAUGUCCAAUCUCGUUGUUGAGCAACAUUUGGACUGGGUCAGGAAGCAGUGAAGGAGAGGAGAAGGAAACAGGGAGAAGAAGGAAACAAGCGAGAGAGACGCCCUUCUCCCCCAUUCUUCUUACAUAACCAUGUGCAUUCUCCCUCUUUCUCUCUCUCUCUCCCUGAAUGAUAAAUCAUCAACAAGUGGGCUCCGAGAGCGAUGUUCCCAGGGACUCAAGUAUGUGACCCUGGAAACUCAAGUUGGGGGAUUCUUAACUGAAGCAGAAAACAUUUCCUAUCGUGUAGUCAAGGGUAAUGAGCUCACGUUAACUGGCCUGCCAGCAUCUUAAUAUACCAGUGUUAUUCUAGGAAUAAUAAUCACAAAUAACAGCUUCAAGCCAAAGGACCAACAUCAAGGUCUAGAGGACAAGGUUUCCAACAAUCAGACACAAGGCUUACAAUCCUAGAGACAAGGUUUUUACAACCUAGAGAGGCAAGGUUUCUUACAAUCCUAGAGAGACAGGUUUCUUACAAUCUCUAGAGACAAUGUUCUUACAACCUAGAGACAAGGUUUCUUACAUUCAUAGAGAGACAAGUGUCUUACAAUCCUUCUAUUAAUGAGAGUGGCUUUUAGAAUGUGGCAUCUUACCAAGAUUCCAGCUGUCCACACAACAGAACUCUGAAAAUAACAGAGGAAAUAUCAGAGGAUGUGACUACUGACUUUUAAGUGGAAAUGUAUCUGUGUGUAUACAGAUCUCUACGUGUCUAUGUGUAUACAGUAUCUCUACGUGUCUGGUGUUGAGUGUAAUCUACCAGUGCAUUGAUCCCGGUUUAAUCUACCAGUGUCAUUGAUCCUGUGU
rnacentral:lncRNA from 1 species